rnacentral:piRNA from 1 species
CACACUGUAUAAUCAUGUACAGGCUUAC